UACGGGGGGGGCAAGCGUUGUUCGGAAUUACUGGGCGUAAAGGGCUCGUAGGCGGCCAACUAAGUCAGACGUGAAAUCCCCAGGCUCAACCUGGGAACUGCGUCUGAUACUGGAUGGCUUGAAUCCGGGAGAGGGAUGCAGAAUUCCAGGUGUAGCGGUGAAAUGCGUAGAUAUCGAGAGGAACACCAGUGGCGAAGGCGAGUCCCUGGACAACACCUGACACUGAGGCACGAAAGCUAGGGGAGCAAACAGG
rnacentral:rRNA from 1 species